rnacentral:rRNA from 1 species
CGGACGGGUGAGUAUCGCGUAGGGAUUUGUCGUUGGGUGGGGGAGUAACCUUGGGAAACUGGGGCUAAUACCGCAUGACGCCUGUGGGCCAAAGCCGGGUGACCGGUGCCUGACGAGGAGCCUGCGUCCGAUUAGCUAGUUGGUUGGGUAAUGGCUGACCAAGGCUGUGAUCGGUAGCUGGUCUGAGAGGAUGAUCAGCCACACUGGGACUGAGACACGGCCCAG